rnacentral:lncRNA from 1 species
GUGAGACCCCAUGGGGCUGGCUGGACACUUGAACUGGUCAAAAGUGCCACCCUAUGCAGGGCUUCCUGGGGAGUGGCUAGUGGUUGUCCCCUGCUCUGGGGUGGUGGGGACCCAAGGCUCCUGCAGGGAUGAACAAGGCACGGGGGCAGGGACACCUGGGGACCCUGGCUCUGGCCUCUCAGGACUGCCAGGUGGAGGUCAAGUGCCACAUCCUGAGCCCAGCUCAGCCCGCCCAGCACUGCCCUGGAACCCCCGUUCUCGGCUCCGGGAACAGCAGCACAAGUGCCAGAUGCCAGCCCUAGACAGCCUCUGGCCCUGUUGACUUUGGAGUGUCUCCUCUGUGGGAAUCUUGGCUUCUGGGCCAAUUAAUCCAGACAUUAGCCAUCUUGGAUUGAAGCCCUGUUCCUCAAGAGUGAGCAGUGAGCCUGCUGUCCCAGCCCUGGUCAUUUCUGCUGCCUCCCACCCAGAGCCCCCCAGGGCACUCUUCCUUCCUGACCUCAAGGGGCACUGCUGGUCUCCAUCAGGGCUGCACCCUCAUCUCCAGCCAGGCAGAUGCAGGGCCUCCAGGGGCACUGGCCCCGGGCUUUGGGUUGGGGGAUUCUCUUAGGUGAAGGGGCCUGUGGUUCAGCCGGCCUAGAAGCACAGCCCAGGUCUGCGACCUGAGUGGUGGCAUCUGGACACGCCCCUCUCCUGGGGACAGAAGCCUGACACCCAUUUAUUCAAUGUUCCCCAAAUCAUGGAAUACAACCUGAGCUAGGGACAGACAGCCCUUGCCCUGAGCAUCCCAUGUGAAGGACAAACGCAGGAGGGAACAGUGGCCAGCACCUGAGUGGACCCAGGCAGCUCUUCCCAGAUCCAGAAGAUGAAGGACCAGCCAGGACUCCCCAGGGGAGCAAGCAGAGGUCCCGGGACAAGGACUCGGGCAGUGUGCCAGCCACUGAUGACAAGUGCCACUGCUGCCUCCCUCACCACCGUGGAGUCCAGCAGCACGGCGUCUGCCUCUGUGAAGAGCAGCGGGCAGCGCCAUGACACACAGCUGGUACCACGCGGGUUCCACGAGCCAGCCUCGGCUAGCCAUUCCUUCCCUAGGGACCCACUUCACACGCCAGGCCACUGAUGAAGCCUUAACCCCAGGAUCAGCCACACACCGAUGCUCACGCUUUGAACAGGGAAGGGCUGGAAGCCUCCAGCCGUGCAGCAGCCACGGGCCCGGGCAGCGCCCCAGUCGGGCAUCGCCAAGGUCGAGAGAGAAGAGAGGGACGCUGCCCUGUGGGCAGGAAGAAGCAGGGUGGUUUUAUGUCCUUGUUCGUGAACUUUGCCAGGGUGUCCCAGGGGCUGCAGGGCCUGCUUGCAUGUCCUGGGCAUGGCUCCAGGUCACCCCUGGACAGCCCACUAGAGACAUCUCAAAGUCCUGGGAUUGGAGGGUGGACCGUAGGGUGUAGUGAUCAGGUAAGUGGUCAGGAGCUCAGGCCCAGUGUUGGCAGGAUGUGGGAGGCAGAGGUGGGUUUGCCAGGUGCUGGUGCUCAGGGGGGUCAGCCGACUUGGGCCACAGCCUGCCAGGGCCACCAUGAGGCAGCAGGGCCCAGGGCCAAGAUGAGCAGGCCAGGCAGGAAGAGGCCUGCAGGGCCAGCCUGGGGGCCAUGCUGAUUAGAGGGGCCAAAGGUCCUCCUCUAGGCUGUGGGCACCAGCCCAGCAGGCCAGAUGUUUUUCUUUACUGCAGAGCUGGCCAGAGCGGGGUGGGCACUGGCCCAGCAGGCCAGAUGGUUUUCUUUACUGCAGGGCUGGUCAGAGGUGGGGUGGGCGGGCAGCUGGCCCCUCUCUACUCUUGGGCUCCAGCACACUGUCUUUUGCUGGAAAAUCAAUUCUGCAGUUCUCUCUGGGCUCUGGCUGAGAGCAGCUGGGGCACUUCCUGCCCUCCCUGGGGCCUGUUCAGUUGAGGGCCAGCCAGGGUGGGCUCAGAAGCCACGGGGACAAGAGCUGACUCCCUGCCCCGUCCUGGGCAACUGUCUGCCUCUUCCCAGCCUCCUGCCAGGAGUGGCCCCAGGGCUCCCCUUCCUCCCGCUGCCCAGGCAGAGAGCUAAGGUGGCCACAGGAAAGGAAGCGUCUGUGGAGGUACACAGGGCCUGCUGCAAACCCUGUCCAGGCCCCACUCCUGCUCUCAGGGCUCCAGCUGGCUCUUGCCAACACGGAACCCAAGCGGCCGGACAUCAGCUCUCAGUGUUGCCUCUGGGGCAGCAGCCACCAUGGGCCCAGCAGGGAUGGUUCCAUCUUGUUUCACGGUCUAUCCUUUGGCCUCCUGGUUCACAUGCCGCUCCCUGCCUCCCACACUGUUAGCGCUGCACUGAGCACCCACCCAGCCUGGAGUGCUCAGCACCCCGUAGCACCAAGGAGGCUCUGGGAGGGGCAGAGUCUAUGGCCACCUCACCCCAGGCCAUUCACCCUGCCUGGCAGGCCCUGCCCCUGGGGCUGUCCCCAGCACAGGAGGGUCUGUGGGAUCCACAGCCACAACCCCACAGGCACCAGGGCAAUGCAGGCUGAGGGUAGCCCACCACCCGGUUAGUCACAUGUGACCUGCGCUGGUGGCUCCCAAACACCCAAAACCAGAGGGUAAAACCCCAGUGACUUGAACCCCUGGCCCCGUCUCCGGUUGGCACACACAUGCACACUCAGCCUGGCGCCCUGGGCUCUCUGUCCUUCUCUCAGAACCAGCCUGUGGGUCCUAUGUGCGUCUUUAGUACUGCCUUAGGCUCUGGCCUCAGAUGCACAGAACUCUGGUAUUCCAUGUGAAUCUGGGGAUAAAAAUUUCACUAAAAAUAAACAUCGGGCACUGGGUUUGCAGCGGGCUUAUUUAUUAACUGGGAGAGAGUGUGUGCCUUCUGCAAACAGGUGGUCAGCGCCUCCUCACUAACCCCUGCUGGGCCAGUACCAGGCUGCCACCAGCUAGGGUGCUGGCUGUAGGGUCAUCAGUAGGUCAGCCCUGCAGCUCAGAAGUGGGAAGGGACAUCAGAGAGCAGAGCAGGCCUCCCUGGCACCCUGCACUUGUGGGGCCCAGCAGUCUUGGCUUCCACUGGCACUUCUUCCUGUGGAUUGGUGCAGAAAGUCUGAGGGGCCAGCAAUGGGGCUCGGGUGCAGUCAGCCUGAAGGGUGGACAUACAUCCUGACUGCAGACCUUCAGGUCUGUUCCAGACAUGGGCUGGCCCCGGGGGCUUUCUACACAGCUCAUCACCCACUCUCAUUGCACGCCCUUGUGGCUCUGGCCAGACCCCCACAUGACGUUAGACCCUGUCACCGGCUGCCAUUUCAACUUGACCAGGCCGAGGCGAGCAGGGUCGAGCCUCUGAGCUGCACCUUGUGCCGAGGCUCUGCUGCAGGCUCCUUCCUGGGGGAGGGGCUGUGGAUGGAAGGUUCAUUUCACGGCUCGGGAAAUCUCCCUGGGGCAGCGCCUGCUCCUCUCCACCCCUCGGAAGUCCCUUCCAGUCAGGUCUCUUGAGACAGCCCCGGCAGCAUCCCUCCUCCAGGGACAAAGCAGCCUUCCCGCCUGUCCUGGAGGGGGAGGGGCGACCCAAGCCUGUGUCCACUGCACAUACCUGGAGGCCCCUGGGGACAGAGGAGCAGAGGCAAGGACGCAGCUCCAAGCAGAGGGUCCUCCAGGCCUCAGGAGACGGCACAAAAGUGACAGCAACCAGUUAAGAUGGCC